UAGGGAAUCUUCCGCAAUGGACGAAAGUCUGACGGAGCAACGCCGCGUGAGUGAAGAAGGAUUUCGGUUCGUAAAACUCUGUUGUUAGGGAAGAAAAAAUGUAUAGUAACUAUAUACAAAAGAGACGGUACCUAACCAGAAAGCCACGGCUAACUACGUGCCAGCAGCCGCGGUAAUACGUAGGUGGCAAGCGUUGUCCGGAAUUAUUGGGCGUAAAGCGCGCGCAGGUGGUUUAGAAAGUCUGAUGUGAAAGCCCACGGCUCAACCGUGGAGGGUCAUUGGAAACUAAUAAACUUGAGUGCAGGAGAGAAAAGUGAAAUUCCUAGUGUAGCGGUGAAAUGCGUAGAGAUUAGGAGGAACACCGGUGGCGAAAGCGGCUUUUUGGCCUGCAACUGACACUGAGGCGCGAAAGCGUGGGGAGCAAACAGG
rnacentral:rRNA from 1 species